AAGACGUCCUGUGUAAGAACAGCUAACAGCAACUGGCCUUCCUACUAUGCUCACUGUACUGCUGUUGUCUUCUCCUUCAUCAUUCAUUAAAGGCCAUUUUCUCCAAUGGAAGAUCCAGAGGUUGGCUAUACACAAGUCUGGAGCUCAGAAUGAGUUUACUAGCAGUCUGAAGAUUAGCAAUUGAUGAAGAUCGUGGAAUGGGACUUAUGCCAGGUGAUAUAUCUGGAGAGGAAUUCACAGUCUUUUGCUCAGGGUUGAUGCUUGCUGCUAUAUGGAAGUGACCAAGUGCAUUUGCGUGAUGUGAAAUGUGACGCUGAACUUCAUGAGUACCCUGUUGAUCUGGCAAUACAUCUGUAUUGAGAGAUGGUGCUGCUAAUGCUGGAAGUGCUAGUUUCACAGAUCUGUUCACCAAGAAGAGUAUCUUCUGGUAACAAUGUCUCUGCCCACAGCCGACAGACGCCAUCAAUACAUGAUCUGUUGCAAAGUAUUCACCAUCAGGAGACCAUGCCAUCAAAUGUACUGAUACUGCAGUCCUAAAGAACAUGAUAGUAAAGUUUUAAAUUAUUUACAGAAUCAAUACCCAUCGAUGGGCACAAGAAGAUGAUGGUGCAAGAUAAUCACUGGAGCUUGAAUGGAAAAUUUAGGUCUCAUGGCCUUCUACAUCUACUUUUGAUCCUCCUGGGAAGGAGCAACAAGUGAGGAAGUUUGAAGAAAAAGGCUUAAUUUUGUGAAAAUACAGUCACUGUUAAAAUCAAGGAAUGAACAGCAAUACAAGCAGCAAAGAAGAAACUCAGGCCUCAGAAAUUACCACACCAUACAAUUACACACACAAAAAUUAAAACUCUGUAGAAAACAUAAGAUUGUCCAAAAGAUUUCCAAGGUCAUCUCACAAAAAUAAAGUGACACAGUGUUGUCUGAGUCCUCAAGCCCACAAGAGUUGUUCUGGGAAGCUCUGAGGAACUGAUACUGGAGUUAUUCACAAUGUAAGCAGGGGAGGGAAAAAACCCCAACUGCUAAAAGGUUGUUAGGGGAAGAUUAUCUAUGUAACUGAAUAUCCUAGCUCCUUGAUGACUAGGUUAUGCAGUUAUUAGACACAAUCUAAAAGGGAACGUUAUUAUUAAAAUAGAAUAGGAUUAUUUCCAGAAGGUAAGAGAAAGAAAGAUGAGAUUCUGAGAGAAGUUCUAGCACUGAACAGAAAGUCUUUUCUUUUUAUUGUCUUCCUAUUUUUUAUAUUGGAAUUUGUUACAAAACAAAAGCCACCAGCAGUGUGGAAUGCUGGACAGGCCAGCAAAUGUUCAUAAGUAGGAAGGAAGAAGAUGGAGACCAGGAUGUGAAUGCCCAUAAGUAAAUAGGAAAAUAAAAGCAGGUCUUCUUGUGCCAAUAAUUUAUACAGAAUUCUAAUAUUCACAAGCAAUUGAUUCUCCUACUAUUUACUUCAAAUGGUGAGCAAUUAAAACAGCGAAGAAUUGAAAGACUCCUUUUCAACAGUCUGCCUCAUAAGUACUAAUAAAAACCUACUAAGACAUGAUUUAAAUUGUUAUCAAAUACAGUUAAAAAAAGGUAUCAAUCCACUUUAAAUAAGGACUUAAACCUUCUAGAUACCCUAUUUUUUCAUUGUCGGUAUUGAUAACUUGCAGAUUUCAAACUAAAUUAAACAUACUUUAUCACUAGUUGGAACCCUGUUAGCAGGAGAUGUGUCUCAGAAAUGAUACAGGGAAAGGAAAAGACUUCUCAACUUUAAUUUCCUUAUGCUUAUUGUUCUUAAACAUGUACAUUUGUAUGUGUGUGUACAGUUGAUAAUGUUUGAAACAGAAAAAAUUUUAUACUUCAGUAUGUCUGUUGAUUCUGUGAAGCAAAAGAAUUUAGUGUCUUUUUAAAUGUUUUCAUUUCUCUUCUCUCCUGUCCCCUACCCAUACUUCUUAUUAUAGCAACAAAGCAGUAUUUUUCUGCCUAAUUAUACUAUUUAGCAUAUUUUACAAAGUUAGGUAAAAAGGUGAUUGUGAAUUAAAAGGGUGGUUUACAGUAGAAUUUCAUUUUUUUCCUUAAAGAAUUGAGAUGUAGAGAUCUCUUUCCUAAGUGAAAUCUUAUUACCAUCACUCAUAUCCUUCCUACUCUUCUACUCUUUGCCUGUGUUUGGCACUGCACCAACAAGUGACUCAGCACACCUAAGUGUCCUGUGCCAACAGAAAGGACCUAGUCCGUUAGAGACCUUAGUCGGAACACAUUCAGGGUAUCAGCUUUCAGCUCGAGGUUCUCUGAGCAAGUGCUGUCUCUUGGUUCUGCGGUCAUUUUCUCAGUGGAGAUAUUUAUUCUGUCUCUCAUUUCAGUGUAUUUACCUUAAAUCUUAAAUUUACUUUAAGAAGUACAUUUAUUAUAACCCCACCUUUGAGAAAAGGU